ACUCCUACGGGAGGCAGCAGUGGGGAAUCUUGGACAAUGGGCGCAAGCCUGAUCCAGCCAUGCCGCGUGAGUGAUGAAGGCCCUAGGGUCGUAAAGCUCUUUCGCCAGGGAUGAUAAUGACAGUACCUGGUAAAGAAACCCCGGCUAACUCCGUGCCAGCAGCCGCGGUAAUACGGAGGGGUUAGCGUUGUUCGGAAUUACUGGGGCGUAAAGCGCGCGUAGGCGGACUGGAAAGUUGGGGUGAAAUCCCGGGGCUCAACCCCGGAACUGCCUCCAAAACUCCCAGUCUUGAGUUCGAGAGAGGUGAGUGGAAUUCCGAGUGUAGAGGUGAAAUUCGUAGAUAUUCGGAGGAACACCAGUGGCGAAGGCGGCUCACUGGCUCGAUACUGACGCUGAGGUGCGAAAGUGUGGGGAGCAAACAGGAUUAGAUACCCUGGUAGGAUAGCG
rnacentral:rRNA from 1 species